UACGUAGGGUGCGAGCGUUGUCCGGAUUUAUUGGGAGUAAAGAGCUCGUAGGCGGCUUGUCGCGUCGGAUGUGAAAGCCCGGGGCUUAACUCCGGGUCUGCAUUCGAUACGGGCAGGCUAGAGUGUGGUAGGGGAGAUCGGAAUUCCUGGUGUAGCGGUGGAAUGCGCAGAUAUCAGGAGGAACACCGAUGGCGAAGGCAGUUCUCUAGGCCGGUACUGACGCUGAGGUGCGAAAGCGUGGGGAGCAAACAGG
rnacentral:rRNA from 1 species